AUUGAACGCUGGCGGCAUGCCUUACACAUGCAAGUCGAACGGUAACAGGUCUUCGGAUGCUGACGAGUGGCGAAAGGGUGAGUAAUACAUCGGAACGUUCCUAGCAGUGGGGGACAACUACUCGAAAGAGUGGCUAUCCCGCAUGAGAUCUAAGGAUGAAAGCAGGGGAUCGCAAGACCUUGUGCUACUAGAGCGGCCGUUGGCAGAUUAGGUAGUUGGUGGGAUAAAAGCUUACCAAGCCGACGAUCUGUAGCUGUUCUGAGAGAACAAUCAGCCACACUGGGACUGAGACACGGCCCAGACUCCGACGGGAGGCAGCAGUGGGGAAUUGUGGACAAUGGGCGCAAGCCUGAUCCAGCAAUGCCGCGUGCAGGAUGAAGGCCUUCGGGUUGUAAACUGCUUUUGUACGGAACGAAAAGCCCUGGGUUAAUACCCUGGGGUCAUGACGGUACCGCAAGAAUAAGCACCGGCUAACUACGUGCCAGCCGCCGCCGUAAAAC
rnacentral:rRNA from 1 species